rnacentral:tRNA from 1 species
UGUUUAAUAAUUUAAGUUUUAAAAAUUUUAAAUUGCAAAUUUAAAUAUAUUAUAUUAUUGUUACAUAAUUUAAACAU